rnacentral:lncRNA from 1 species
GUGCCAACUUUAUACCCGCUGGCAGGGUCAUGUUUCGUGUGGAUGCUAGCUCCGGAUGUCGACCUUCCCGAAGGGAUUCAUUCAUAGCCAUCUGAGAGCCUUUGAAAUCUUUAUAUCUUUUUCUUAAAGCAUACAUAUACAUAGAUGGAAAAAUAAUGAAAUUCAUGCUUCAUAAUCAUGCUAUUUUCAUAAGACAUUCAUAAA